rnacentral:rRNA from 1 species
AGAGUUUGAUCCUGGCUCAGGAUGAACGCUAGCGGCAGGCCUAACACAUGCAAGUCGAGGGGUAGAGUAGCUUGCUAACUUGAGACCGGCGCACGGGUGCGUAACGCGUAUGCAAUCUACCUUGUACAAGGGGAUAGCCCAGAGAAAUUUGGAUUAAUACCCCAUAGUAUCUUUUGAAGGCAUCUUCAAAUUAUUAAAGUUCCAACGGUACAAGAUGAGCAUGCGUCCCAUUAGUUAGUUGGUGUGGUAACGGCACACCAAGACGAUGAUGGGUAGGGGCCCUGAGAGGGAGAUCCCCCACACUGGUACUGAGACACGGACCAGACUCCUACGGGAGGCAGCAGUGAGGAAUAUUGGGCAAUGGAGGCAACUCUGACCCAGCCAUGCCGCGUGCAGGAAGACGGCCCUAUGGGUUGUAAACUGCUUUUGUACGGGAAGAAACACUCCUACGUGUAGGAGCUUGACGGUACCGUAAGAAUAAGGAUCGGCUAACUCCGUGCCAGCAGCCGCGGUAAUACGGAGGAUCCAAGCGUUAUCCGGAAUCACUGGGUUUAAAGGGUCCGUAGGCGGCCUUAUAAGUCAGUGGUGAAAUCUCCUAGCUCAACUAGGAAACUGCCAUUGAUACUGUAGGGCUUGAAUUUUUGUGAAGUAACUAGAAUAUGUAGUGUAGCGGUGAAAUGCUUAGAUAUUACAUGGAAUACCAAUUGCGAAGGCAGGUUACUAACAAACGAUUGACGCUGAUGGACGAAAGCGUGGGGAGCGAACAGGAUUAGAUACCCUGGUAGUCCACGCCGUAAACGAUGGAUACUAGCUGUUCGGUGCAAACUGAGUGGCUAAGCGAAAGUGAUAAGUAUCCCACCUGGGGAGUACGCACGCAAGUGUGAAACUCAAAGGAAUUGACGG